rnacentral:rRNA from 1 species
UCUACGGGACGCAGCAGUGGGGAAUAUUGGACAAUGGGCGAAAGCCUGAUCCAGCCAUGCCGCGUGUGUGAAGAAGGUCUUCAGAUUGUAAAGCACUUUAAGUUGGGAGGAAGGGUUGUAGAUUAAUACUCUGCAAUUUUGACGUUACCGACAGAAUAAGCACCGGCUAACUCUGUGCCAGCAGCCGCGGUAAUA